CGGUGCGGUCCACAUACAUCCUUUAGACCGCGCACGCCCCCGCGCCCCCGUGCAAUCAAGAAUUAAGCACGUUGACGUAGGAUUCCUUCUUUCUUUAAUCGUUUCUUUGAUCGUCGUCGCCGGAUUGGAGGGAGGAGAGCGAGGAGUAGACGGGUGGGAGGGCGGCGAUAAUGGAGACGGACACCGACGCCGCGGUCGCCUUCGGCGGCCGGACGGUGAAGGUGAUCCCGUUCCAGCACGCGUCGACGUCGUCGCCGCCCCCGCAGCAGCCGUCGGCGACGCUGGUGGCCAGAUGGGGGGCGAAGCUCCGGGCGAUGACGGCCGUGGAGUGGAUGGAGCUCUUCCUCCCGUGCUCCAGCUGGAUCCGGACAUACCGCUGGCGGGAAUACCUCAAGGUCGACCUCAUGUCCGGCCUCACCGUCGGUGUCAUGCUCGUCCCUCAGGCAAUGUCAUAUGCAAAGCUGGCAGGGCUUCAUCCAAUAUAUGGGCUUUAUUCAGGGUUCGUUCCAAUAUUCAUAUAUGCUAUAUUUGGAUCAUCACGUCAACUGGCAGUUGGUCCGGUGGCAUUAGUAUCGCUCUUGGUGUCUAAUGUCUUGAGCCACAUAGUUGAACCUUCUAAUGAGCUGUACACUGAGCUUGCAAUAUUGUUGGCGCUGAUGGUUGGCAUAUUGGAAUGUCUCAUGGCUUUGCUAAGGCUUGGGUGGCUUAUUCGUUUUAUUAGUCAUUCUGUAAUAUCUGGCUUCACUACUGCUUCCGCCAUUUCAAUCGCCUUGUCUCAAGCCAAAUACUUCUUGGGGUACAAUAUAGCACGAAGCAGCGAAAUUAUACCAAUAAUUAGAAGCAUAAUUGCUGGUUUUGGCGAAUUCUCAUGGCCGCCCUUCGUGAUGGGGUCAAUUUUUCUUGCAGGUCUUCUCCUGAUGAAGCACUUGGGUAAAUCCAAGAAGUGUUUGCGAUGGCUAAGAGCAGCUGGCCCCCUUACAGCGGUUGUACUGGGCAUAAUUUUUGUGAAAUUAUUUCAUCCGUAUUCAAUUUCAGUGGUUGGUGAAAUACCCCAGGGCCUUCCAAAGUUCUCAAUACCUAGAGGAUUUCAGCAUGUGAAGUCUCUACUUUCAACUGCGGUUCUCAUUACUGGUGUGGCCAUUCUGGAAUCUGUGGGGAUUGCUAAAGCUUUGGCUGCAAAGAAUGGUUAUGAGUUAGACUCAAAUCAAGAGUUGUUUGGGCUAGGCGUGGCAAAUAUUUGUGGGUCAUUCUUCUCUGCAUACCCUAUAACUGGAUCUUUUUCUAGAUCAGCUGUAAAUCAUGAGAGUGGGGCCAAAACUGGAUUGUCUGGAAUCGUAAUGGGAAUUAUUAUGGGAUGUGCUCUUUUGUUUAUGACACCACUGUUUAGUGAAAUACCUCAGUGUGCCCUGGCUGCAAUUGUGAUAUCUGCUGUAAUGGGCCUGGUGGAUUACGAAGAAGCCUUAUUCUUGUGGCGUAUAGAUAAAAAAGAUUUUCUUCUCUGGACAAUCACUUUUAUUACAACACUAAUCUUUGGUAUUGAGAUUGGUGUUAUUGUUGGGGUUGGCUUCUCACUUGCAUUCGUCAUCCAUGAAUCAGCAAAUCCACACAUAGCUUUAUUGGGGCGUCUUCCUGGAACAACUGUUUACAGAAAUAUUCUACAAUAUCCUGAAGGAUAUACAUAUAAUGGAAUAGUUGUUGUUCGAAUUGAUGCACCUAUCUAUUUUGCAAACAUCAGCUAUAUCAAAGACAGGCUACGGGAAUAUGAACGCAAUCUUUCAGGAACUGCAAACCGUGGACCGGAUGUCGGGAGAAUAUAUUUCGUAAUUCUUGAGAUGUCACGGCUUUAAUCAAUUGUUAGCGGGGGAAACUAGUGCCAUCUGCAGGACAUGGGAUCCAACCAACCCAGUUCAGCAAUUUCACAUGAAAAUUCCAUCCCAAUUCAAAGCAAAGCUGUUACAUAUAUAGACGCCAGUGCUGUUCAAGCUCUCAAAGACCUUCAUCAGGAGUACAAUUCACGUGGUAUCCAGAUUGCAGUUGCAAACCCAAACCCGGAAGUUCAUCGGUUACUUUCAAGAUCUGGUCUCAUAGACCUGAUUGGCAAGGAAUGGUGUUUUGUGAGGGUCCAUGAUGCCGUACAAGUUUGUCUACAACAUGUGCAGAACUUGGAUGGGAUAACUCCAACAGCGGUAGACAGGACUCCUAGGAGGCAGCAGAAUUUCCUGCAGAGCCUACGGCAGCAUGAAGGUGGAGGUAACUCCGUAGUGGAGCCGCUCUUGCCACAAGAGAGAGUUUGAAAGUGUUUAUUCUCAUAGCUGGUUAUUUUUGGAGCUGUGAAUUGUAAAUGCAGGCACUCCAAUUCAAAUAUUUCACCCAAGCAUGACUCUGAUUUCUAUCACAAUUGUUUCCUUGAAAUCACAUAUAUUUGUUUCAUUCUUGAUAUAUUCGUUGGAUAUCUCUUUCUCA